rnacentral:misc_RNA from 1 species
GAUGAAGAAUGUAGCGAAAUGCGAUACGUAAUGUGAAUUGCAGAAUUCAGUGAAUCAUCGAGUCUUUGAACGCACAUUGCGCCCCCUGGUAUUCCGGGGGGCAUGCCUGUCCGAGCGUCAUUGCUGCCCUCAAGCACGGCUUGUGUGUUGGGCCUCCGCCCCCCGGCUCCCGGGGGGCGGGCCCGAAAGGCAGCGGCGGCACCGCGUCCGGUCCUCGAGCGUAUGGGGCUUCGUCACCCGCUCCGUAGGCCCGGCCGGCGCCCGCCGGCGACCCCCCUCAAUCUUUCCAGGUUGACCUCGGAUCAGGUAGGGAUACCCGCUGAACUUAAGCAUAUCAUAAGCGGAGGA